rnacentral:lncRNA from 1 species
AAUGAUUCAAAGGUGAAAGUGAAGUAAUGAUGCAAAGCAUGGGUAAAAUGGAGUGGUGUUGAAAUGAUUUAAAGGUGAAAGUGAAGUAAUGAUGCAAAGCAUGGGUAAAAUGGAGUGGUGUUGAAAUGAUUCAAAGGUGAAAGUGAAGUAAUGAUGCAAAGCAUGGGUAAAAUGGAGUGGUGUUGAAAUGAUUUAAAGGUGAAAGUGAAGUAAUGAUGCAAAGCAUGGGUAAAAUGGAGUGGUGUUGAAAUGAUUCAAAGGUGAAAGUGAAGUGAUGAUUGAUGCAAGAAUUAAACAUGGAUGGAGUGCACGGCAAAGGUUUGUUAUGGUACAAGGAACCCUUAAUUUGUGUCCUAAAAUGCAUAGGAAACCUUCAAUGUUGCUGGAACUUAGGGACAUUUAGGAUUUAGGAAAGAUCAAACCAAAAUAGGAAACCUUGGCUUAACUUUCCUACUUCAAGUAGG